UUGUACGUCAGAGUGUCGGGGUCGCCGUGUUCCGCAUUAACAUUGCGAGCAGCUGCCGCCAUCCGAUUUGUUUUCCCAAAAGUCACAAGUGUUUCGGACUCUGGGAUUUUCUUCUCUGCCAGUUAGGGUUUUAACCCUAGAAAAUUUCAGGUUUCAGGGAUGAAGAAAGCUUUCGCAACAUCAUUUUUGUAAUUUCUCGAUUCCCUCCAAGAAAGCCAUUCUUCAAGAUCCCAAAUAGUUGAAAGUCAUCGACUAUGGCUGAGCACCUGGCUUCAAUCUUCGGCACUGAGAAGGACCGCGUCAACUGCCCCUUCUACUUCAAGAUCGGCGCCUGUCGUCAUGGCGAUCGGUGUUCUCGACUCCACAAUCGCCCGACCAUCUCGCCAACCCUUCUUUUGUCGAACAUGUACCAGCGCCCUGACAUGAUUACCCCCGGUGUCGAUGCUCAAGGCCAACCUAUCGAUCCACGCAAGAUCCAGGAACACUUCGAGGAUUUCUACGAGGAUAUUUUCGAAGAACUCAGCAAAUUUGGUGAGAUCGAGAGUCUUAAUGUUUGCGAUAAUCUUGCCGACCACAUGAUCGGCAACGUCUAUGUCCAAUUCAAGGAGGAGGACCAGGCGGCUGCAGCAUUACAGGCUUUGCAAGGGCGCUUUUAUUCCGGCCGACCCAUCAUUGCUGAUUUCUCACCUGUGACUGAUUUCCGGGAAGCCACUUGUCGACAGUUUGAGGAAAACAAUUGCAAUCGUGGUGGAUAUUGCAAUUUCAUGCAUGUAAAAUUGAUUGGAAGGGAAUUGAGGAGGAAGCUGUUCGGGAGAUACCGGGGGUACCGAGGAAGUAGAAGCCGGAGCAGAAGUUCGAGCCCUCGUCAUAGGCGGGACUAUGAUAGACGCGAAAGAAGUUCUCGUGACCGUGAUUAUCGUGGAAACGGGCGACGGAGCAAGGACCGGUCUGAUAGGUACGACCAUGACAGUGGUAGGCGAAGACAUGGAAGCCCAAGGAAGAGUCGGAGCCCAGUGAGGGAAGGGAGUGAGGAACGCCGAGCCAGGAUCGAACAAUGGAAUCGAGAACGAGAGGAGAAAAAUUGAUUUGCACAUGCUUCAUGACCUUCACAAUAUUUUAAUUGGUCCUUCUGGGGAUAGGUUAUGGUGGUGCAGCUGCUGCUCUUGGGAUCUAGGAAUUGUGGUUCAAUGAUUAACAAGGUUAUCGUGGUGCAUGGACUCCCCAGAUCUUAGGCGGGCAAUAUGGCUUCCUAUAAUUCUAUGGCACUCUCAACUGUAGGUAAUUUAGCCUGGCAGUGUUACGCUUUCUCAAUUUGGUAAUAGAGGACUAUCAGUAUUUGAGGCAGCAGUUUAUAGGUAUCUGAAACCUGAGCUUAGUCCGAAGUACAUAUGAGGAGCAGUCCUAUGUUACUAGCCCUUGUUAGGCUACUUACUGUAACAGCUGAAGUUCUCUUAUUUACGAGUUGCUCUUGGGUAUGGUUGUCUGCGAAAUGUAAAAUCUUAUCAUACAUAGACCAUAGAUGGACUUCUUGAGGUGUAAAGUAUCGCCAAAAUGGAAGCAGACUCGGCUUCCUGUUGCUUCUAGUUUCAAUUCCGAAGGAUUUAUGGAAAUAGCGAUGCAUGGAUGUUUUGAGUGGGAAAAUCUUGCGUUGGCAUGCCGUUCAUUAGCUCUUAGAUCCAUCCCUGGGAACUUGGGGAAGACCUUGAGCUUAAAUUAUGCGUUUCAAACCAAAAGGCAGGAAAAGUUCUCGUAGACUCGCACGACUGCAGACUGCAUCAUCAGUAACAAAUUAGAAAAGCUUAGGCCUCCUUUUAAAUUUCUAUGGGGAGCGGUGGUACCUAGUAGUAUUCCGCUGUUAAAUAACUUGCGACUUAUUUUAUUGUUCGUACUGCUGUUUUAUAUUUAAAAAAAAUGGUAUUCAAGCAUUGGGCAAUGCACCUUAUAAGUUUAAUUUCAUCUGGUUCAUUGACA